rnacentral:rRNA from 1 species
GACAGCAGCCGCCGCGGGAAUACGUAGGGUGCAAGCGUUAAUCGGAAUUACUGGGCGUAAAGCGUGCGCAGGCGGUUAUAUAAGACAGAUGUGAAAUCCCCGGGCUCAACCUGGGAACUGCAUUUGUGACUGUAUAGCUAGAGUACGGCAGAGGGGGAUGGAAUUCCGCGUGUAGCAGUGAAAUGCGUAGAUAUGCGGAGGAGCACCGAUGGCGAAGGCAAUCCCCUGGGCCUGUACUGACGCUCAUGCACGAAAGCGUGGGGAGCAAACAGGAUUAGAGACCCCUGUAGUCCCUGUCUCUUAUAC